rnacentral:rRNA from 1 species
UACGUAGGGUGCAAGCGUUAAUCGGAAUUACUGGGCGUAAAGCGUGCGCAGGCGGUUUUGCAAGCCGGAUGUGAAAUCCCCGGGCUUAACCUGGGGAAUGGCAUUUGGGGACUGCAAGGCUGGAGUGCGGCAGAGGAGACUGGAAUUCAUGGUGUAGCAGUGAAAUGCGUAGAGAUCAUGAGGAAGACCAGUGGCGAAGGCGGGUCUCUGGACAGUUCCUGACACUGAGACACGAAGGCCAGGGGAGCAAACGGGG